UACGUAGGGUCCAAGCGUUAAUCGGAAUUACUGGGCGUAAAGCGUGCGUAGGCGGUUUCGCAAGUCCGAUGUGAAAUCCCCGGGCUUAACCUGGGAACUGCGUUGGAAACUACGAAGCUAGAGUGCGGCAGAGGGGGGUGGAAUUCCAGGUGUAGCAGUGAAAUGCGUAGAUAUCUGGAGGAACACCGAUGGCGAAGGCAGCCCCCUGGGUUAGCACUGACGCUCAUACACGAAAGCGUGGGGAGCAAACAGG
rnacentral:rRNA from 1 species